AGUGAACGCUGGCGGUAGGCCUAACACAUGCAAGUCGAACGGCAGCACAGUAAGAGCUUGCUCUUACGGGUGGCGAGUGGCGGACGGGUGAGGAAUACAUCGGAAUCUACUUUUUCGUGGGGGAUAACGUAGGGAAACUUACGCUAAUACCGCAUACGACCUACGGGUGAAAGCAGGGGAUCUUCGGACCUUGCGCGAUUGAAUGAGCCGAUGUCGGAUUAGCUAGUUGGCGGGGUAAAGGCCCACCAAGGCGACGAUCCGUAGCUGGUCCGAGAGGAUGAUCAGCCACACUGGAACCGAGACACGGUCCAGACUCCUACGGGAGGCAGCAGUGGGGAAUAUUGGACAAUGGGCGCAAGCCUGAUCCAGCCAUACCGCGUGGGUGAAGAAGGCCUUCGGGUUGUAAAGCCCUUUUGCUGGGAAAGAAAAGCAGCAGGUUAAUACCCCGCUGUUCUGACGGUACCCAAAGAAUAAGCACCGGCUAACUUCGUG
rnacentral:rRNA from 1 species